AUACGGAGGGGGCUAGCGUUGUUCGGAAUUACUGGGCGUAAAGGGCGCGUAGGCGGAUUGUCAAGUCAGAGGUGAAAGCCCCGGGCUCAACCUGGGAACUGCCUUUGAAACUGAUAGUCUUGAGUCCGAGAGAGGAUGGCGGAAUUCCCAGUGUAGAGGUGAAAUUCGUAGAUAUUGGGAAGAACACCAGUGGCGAAGGCGGCCAUCUGGCUCGGUACUGACGCUGAGGCGCGAAAGCGUGGGGAGCAAACAGGAUUAGAAACCCGAGUAGUCC
rnacentral:rRNA from 1 species